ACAAUACUGUGUUACAGAAAUGACUAUCUUCAUCAGUCAUUUAAUAGAUGAAGGAGGGAGAAGCUGAUAUUGCUGGUGGCUCAGGACCGAGGGAGGGUUUUCUUUGUAUGCAAAAGGCUGGGGGUUGUUUAAAAGCCUCGGGGAGAGUCUGGAGAGUGAGAGGCUGGAAGGAUGGGGGUAAGGUGGGAGGAGCGGGUAGAUAAAUUGAUGUGGGAGAGGUCUGGAGCCCUGGAGGAGAGGCCAGCGGGGAAGGAAGGCAGGUGGAGACUUUCGAGUGGAGAGCAGGGAGGUUCCUGGGAAACUUCUUCCCCAAGAAGAAGCUGAAGUCAUCUGCUGAGUCAUGGGAGGAGGAGGGGAAGAGGCUGGUGAACAGGCUGAAGGUUUGAGGGAGCCUCUGGGGAGGGUGGGGGAGUGAGCUGGGAGAAGAACCAGCUGGGCCUGGAGGCCGCGUGCACCGGAACCCCAUCUGCUGGGUCCUGUGGUUUUCUUCAGCAGUUCUCACUCAGCACUGUGGAUCAGGAGCUGCGAAGGUGGAGGUCAGACCACCCAGGGCAGGCAGUGGUCGGCUGUGGCCAAGAGACUGGGGGCCAAGAGGGCUCAAUAUAUCAAAGGAGUGGGUGCUAGGACUGGCCAAGGACAUGGAUGGGGCAAGGCACAGGGCCCUGCCACCCUUGCAUCUUGCUCCCGUAACUCUGAUCUCUGGGCCAACACUUCAACCUCGGGAGGAAGACGGGAUGAUUUGGGCCUCCUGAACUUCACAACCAGAGAAGAGGAAGCCAAGGGCUUGAGCAAAGGGGAGUGUGGCCACGGUAUUCCCCUGCCAUGUACUUGCUUUGUCCACUGGGUCACGCAGGUGGCUAAGAACAGGCAGCAGGCAGAGUAGGGGCCGCCGUAAUUCCCCAGGCGCUGAAGGUCCUGGGGCUACUCCUGGGGCAGGGAAAGAUCAAGGAGGAGGCCGCGAGGCAGGCAAAAAAAAAAAAAAAAAGAAAAGAGAAAUAAACAGAGACAGAGGGACAAGGAUCCGACAGGACAGAGAGACAGACAGGAAAGCAGGAUGGCUGAGACAGAAUCGUGGAGAGAAGGUGCUGAGCUCACUGGCCACGUGCCCAUGGCUCAUUCCGGAAGCUGCUGGGAUGGACCCAAUCAGUGCAAGAUGGACGGCUGUUCUGGGAAGGCAGAGGCCGCCAGGCCAGGCAGCCACAGCAUCCCUUCCAUCUGCACCACCUGCUGCAGGAAGCCCAGUCAGGUGACUCUUGCUGAAGACUGAUGAGUGCCCCCAGGGUUUCCUCAAGGGCAGCAGGAAGUGGGAGAAGAAGGGGUCUGCUUUGGAGGCAUGAACACAGCACUCCCCCCCAACCCCAGUCUGCCUCUCACUAACUGUGAGGUCUGGCAGCCAUUAACCUCCCUUCAUCGCCAUCAGUAAGAUGGAAAGAGCCACCCAAUGCUCAGCGGUUGUGACAUGUCUUCACCUGCCCCACAGGGUCCUGAGUAACCUGGGCGUCAAGGCUGUCCUUCAGGUCUCACAAGAACUUGGAGGCAACUGAUGUCUUCUGUUCCUGGCAUCGUUUGAGGAGAGUUCCAAAAAUCUGGCCAAGCCGUUUGGGCCAGAGGUGGGGAGUCAGGACAUUAGGUUGUGACCCCAGUUCCCAGGGCUGCACCACUGCUAAAAGUGAAAGUCACUCAGUCGUGCCUGACUCUUUGCAACCCCAUGGACUAUACAGUCCAUGGAAUUCUCCAGGCCAGAAUACUGGAGCAGGUAGCCUUUCCCUUCUCCAGGGGAUCUUCCCAACCCACGGAUUGAAACCCAGGUCUCCCACAUUGCAGGCAGAUUCUUUACCAACUGAGCCAUCAGAUCAGAUCAGUCGCUCAGUCGUAUCCGACUCUUUGCGACCCCAUGAAUCGCAGCACGCCAGGCCUCCCUGUCCAUCACCAACUCCCGGAGUUCACCCAGACUCACGUCCAUCAAGUCAGUGAUGCCAUCCAACCAUCUCAUCCUCUGUCAUCCCCUUCUCCUCCUGCCCCCAAUCCCUGCCAGCAUCAGACUCUUUUCCAAUGAGUCAACUCUUCUCAUGAGGUGGCCAAAGUACUGGAGUUUCAGCUUUAGCAUCAUUCCUUCCAAAGAAAUCCCAGGGCUGAUCUCCUUCAGAAUGGACUGGUUGGAUCUCCCUGAAGUCCAAGGGACUCUCAAGAGUCUUCUCCAACACCACAGUUCAAAAGCAUCAAUUCUUCGGCGCUCAGCCUUCUUCACAGUCCAACGCUCACAUCCAUACAUGACCACAGGAAAAACCAUAGCCUUGACUAGAUGAACCUUUAUUGGCAAAGUAAUGUCUCUGCUUUUGAAUAUGCUGCCUAGGUUGGUCAUAACUUUCCCUCCAAGGAGUAAGCGUCUUUUAAUUUCAUGGCUGCAGUCACCAUCUGCAGUGAUUUUGGAGCCCAGAAAAAUAAAGUCUGACACGGUUUCCACUGUUUCCCCAUCUAUUUCCCAUGAAGUGGUGGGACCGGAUGCCAUGAUCUUCAUUUUCGGAAUGUUGAGCUUUAAGCCAACUUUUUCACUCUCCACUUUCACUUUCAUCAAGAGGCUUUUGAGUUCCUCUUCACUUUCUGCCAUAAGGGUGGUGUCAUCUGCAUAUCUGAGGUUAUUGAUAUUUCUCCUGGCAAUCUUGAUUCCAGCUUGUGUUUCUUCCAGUCCAGAGUUUCAAACAAUACUGGAGUGGGUAGCCUAUCCCUUCUCCAGCAGAUCUUCCCAACCCAGGAAUCACUGAUAAAGAUCUCACUAAUUAAAAGCUCCUCCCCAGGCUUCCCAGGUGGCUCAGUGGUAAAGAAUCCACCUGCCAAUAAGGAGACUCGGGUUCCAUCCCUGGGUUGGGA
ensembl:lncRNA